CUAAGUAGAAAGAUGGAGUUGGGAAGCUUCAGCCUUUAGCCAAACAAACACACGGUGAUUCCUUGUUUAAAAUUCCCGUAGGUGAAGCUUUCCUAUGGAUCAGAGCGGUCAAGCGAACAUGGAUCCCGACCAAAUGUCAACCAGCAGUUUUCGUUGAGAAAAUUGUGGUAAAAAUUCGCCACUUACCGGAGAUCAGCUGAGCUUGUGCCGUCCAUAGCUGCCGUCGACUUCCAUCAGACACUGGCCUCAAAAACACCUGUGGAUACACCCUUCCGACUAUCAGGAAGAAGAUAUGUGGAUGGGUGUGUCCCUCUGCAGCAUCCCUGCACUCCCUCCCUCACACACACGCACGCACACACACAGAGAGAGGAGAGAAGGAAUGAAAUGAUCUUUGCUGUAUUGAAUUCAAGAGUGGGAAUAAAUGCAGCUAUCAAUUAUUUGAGUAAUUUGAUAAAAUAUACUUCGUAGCCUUGGUGCAUAUUUUAAAUAAAUAUAAUUUUUUCUUCUUGC